rnacentral:rRNA from 1 species
AACUAAGAAUUUGAUCCUGGUUCAGGGUGAAUGCUAGCGGUGUGCCUAAGGUAUGCAAGUCGAACGAUUCUGCAGCAAUGCAAAGUAGUGGCGAACGGCUGAGUAACACGUGGGAAUCUACCCCUAAGUAAGGCAUAGCCCCUCGAAAGAGGGAGUAAUUCCUUAUGUGAANNUGACGGGUAGCUGGUGUUAGCGCAUGACCAGCCAGAAGGGCACUGAGACACGGGCCUUACUCCUACGGGAGGCAGCAAUCGGGAAUCUUCCACAAUGGACGAAAGUCUGAUGGAGCGACACCGCGUGAGGGAUGACGGCCCUCGGGUUGUAAACCUCGUUAUAAGCACCGGCUAACUACGUGCCAGCAGCAGCGGUCACACGUAGGGUGCAAGCAUUACCCGGUCUUACUGGGCGUAAAGAGUUCUGUAGGCGGCUAGAUAAGUUGGUGGUCAAAUACCUCGGCUCAACCGAGGAAAGGCUGUCAAUACUGUUUGGCUAGGAGGCGACUAGGGGGUAGCGGAACGUAUGGUGUAGCAGUAAAAUGCGUUGAUAUCAUACGGAACACCAAGGGGGAAGCCAGCUACCUGGGGUUGUCCUGACGCUGAGAGACGAAAGCGUGGGGAGCGAAACGGAUUAGAUACCCGUGUAGUCCACGCUGUAAACCAUGCCUGCUAGAUGCCAGAUUUUUUUGGUGUCGAAGCUAACGCGUUAAGCAGGCCGCCUGGGGAGUACGGUCGCAAGAUUAAAACUCAAAGGAAUUGGCGGGGACCCGCACAAGCGGUGGAGCAUGCUCUUCAAUUGGCUGAUAACCCAAGAACCUUACCAAGGCUUGACAUGUAUGAAGUAGUGGACCGAAAGGCGAACGACCGGUAUCCAACCCGGAGCUUACACAGGUGUUGCAUGGCUGUCGUCAGCUCGUACCGUGAGGCGUACCCUUAAGUGGGUUAACGAGCGCAACCCCUACUGCUAGUUGUAUCACUCUAGCGGAACUGCCGCGGCAACGCGGAGGAAGGUGGGGAUGACGUCAAGUCGGUAUUGCCCUUACGCCUUGGGCUAGAAGCAUGCUACAAUGGCCGGCAUAAAGGGUCGCAAAGCCGCGAGGCUGAGCUAAUCCCAAAAAACCGGUCCCAGUUCGGAUUGGAGUCUGCAAUUCGACUCCAUGAAGCCGGAAUCGCUAGUAAUCGUGGGUCAGCUAUACCACGGUGAAUACGUUCUCGGGUCUUGCACACACUGCCCGUCACGCCAGCAAAGCUGGGGCCACCCGAAGUCUC